rnacentral:lncRNA from 1 species
CAUAUCUGUAACAAGGAAACGUUGUUACUGACAUUCCAUGUCGAUUUGUCAGGUUCAAUUGCAUAACAAACAGUUACAGAAGGGAAAAAAAAAUAAAACUUUUGAAAUAAUUCGAAUUUUUAAAUAUUAAUCGAAUGUAAAAUCUACUGUGAUACAAGUCACAAUGUGCGACGCGCACAUUUCAUUUAACACUUUAACACUUUCAAUAUUUACAUAUUAAAAAAAUUAAAAAGUUGUUUUAUAAGAACUUUAUUUUGACUAAAGUUAUUCCACUUUAUUUUCGGUAUACAUAUGUAUCUUUAGAACUUCUAUAUAGCUUAUAAAAUAUUUACUUUCACCAGAAUAAUUUCAUCACGUAAAGUUUUAUUGCACUGCACUUGCGAGAAAUAAACGUCAGCGGUAAGUAACGAUUGAUAUUAUUGGCGGUGAUAACAUUACGGCACGACAAUAAUAUCUUUGCGUCCUUAUUCCGCAAUAUUAUAUUAUGGACCGACAAUAUUUCAUAUAAUGCUACCGAUACGAAGGCAAUCUAAUUUCUUAUAGAUAAUCAUAUAACAUUAACGAGCAAUUAUCACAAUUUCCUUUGCCAUAAUUUCUCUCUCUCUCUCUUUCUCUCUCAAUGAGAUAUUCUUCAGUAUUUAACUGCAAUUAACUCUGCUCUGCUGAGAGAUUAAAAACAUUGUAAUUUUAGGUCAAAAGUUUAAUCAUCAUAGGAAUGAAUUUUAAGACUGUUAAAAGUUUUUGCCUAAUCUUAAUUAAUGCAUAGCAGGCAAAGAAACAAUUAAAUUAUUUAUAAAUUUUUAAGCAGAUAUUAACAAUAUAUACUGCACACAGUAAAUACAAAAUUAUUUCAAAAUAAUUAAAAUUAUUAAUGAAUGAUAUAGAAACAAACAAAAAUGAAUUAUGCUGUUUCUAUACAAAAUUAGCGAAUGUUCCAUCCUACACAUAAUAAAAAAAUAAUUAUAUUAUUAGUUACUGAUAACCUCGCAAAUCACUAACAAUUCUUCUGUCCCGAGAAAUAAUCGCGCAUAAAUAACAAUGUAUUCCGACCUAAUUCGCAAAGUUAUGUGCCGAUAAGGGUGAGAAGUAUAGUUUAAUAUUCAAGAUAAAAUUCUUCAGAUACUUAAUAGCAUUAAACGUGCAUCUAUUAUAACGCUUUCGUCUCGAAAAGGUUAAAUGACAUUUAGUUAGAUCUUCUGAAAUGGCACUCAACCUUGUCAUGUUAUACUCAAUAUGUCAUUGAUAAAUAAGAUACAUGGCAUUCGCGAUACAGUGCAACGAGCAUUAACCAAAUAUGUCUACUACAAUCUAGCAGCUGUACGUAUCAUCAUCCUCCCAUAAUCUCUUUCGCAAACAUUACGAGAUGCGUUAAGAUUCUUCAAACCGGAAUGAUGAUGUGCGAAGCGUCAUUAUGAAGCUUACGGUAAAAUUAUUCUAAUAUGGGUUCCCCUGAUGCGUCUGCAAUGUAAUUCUAGAUUUGGCAAUACUUCACGAUAAUCUUUCUAAUGAGCUGAAUAUUAGACAUCAAAUGGAAAGUGGUGUAUUAUAAUUUAUUUAGUAACUAAUAUUAAAUUGAUAAAUGUGUUCUACAAUACACAUGUGUGUUCUUCAUUGCACAGAUUUGUAAUUUCAUAUAUAAUAUUCAAUUCUUCACUUUUUACUAUUACAAUAUAUUUCUUAAUUUAUAUUGAGAAUUGUUUGUAUCUACAAACUUUGGUAUGUCUUAGUUUUUAUGUUACGUAAAUUUAAAAACACAUUUUUCAAAAUGACUGACGCAAUUUCUCAGAAGUGAGAACUAAAGAUAAAAACUGUCAACUUCUACUUUUAUGUAAAAUACGUGUUUGUUUAUCGCCUGAACUAAGAUUACUUGCAAUACCUGUAAUUAACUAUUUUUAUCAUACACGUUAAAUUAAAUUCAAUACGAGUUUGUUGGAAAAUCAAUAUUUGUUCUUUAAAACCGCACAAUUUUAAUAAUUUACAAUGUUAUAAAUUUUAUAAUAUCGUUUAUUAAUUCUAGUUUGUUCAUUAAUCAAGCAAUAAAGCAAGAGUUGAAGUCAAUAGCUCGAAUAGUUUUUGAGAAAUCUAACGUAUAAAAGUUCAUUUUUAAAUUUACAUAAUACAUUUGGCCAUACCAUAAUUGCAGAUAUUUAGUAAAUAUAUACAGGUAGAUUUCUAAAAAUGUAGAAUAAAAAUGUGCAAGUUAUCUUUUCAAAAAUUUCCAAAAAUAAACCAUUUUUUUCCGCGCUCUUGAAUAUUCUCUUAAGUCGAUAACUAUAGGUUAUAAAAAGGUAAAGUUAAGGUAAUCGCUAUUUUUUUUUUUAUAAAACUCUAGAUUUAAUUUUCCAGACUAAGAAACUUCGCUAACAGCAGGACAAAGCACAUGUACGGCUUUAUUCAUCGCAUCAAGCCAUAUAUUAAGCUAAUCUAGACAAUCGAAGGUCGUCGUAGUCGUAUUGAGGCCCUCGGCAAUCGGCAAGGCCGUUCUCAGGAAUCGACAAAGGUUACAGAUCGAGAGAACGCAGUCGUCGACAGCUUGAUCUUGAUAGCAUGAAAGACGACGAGAUGAUUCAUAACUAUAAAAUGAAUCAACUCUGCAAUUUCCUUUUUAUAAUCCGUGUUGAAGAACGGGAGAAAAAACUACAGUAACUUUUCAGCUAUUAAAUAUCUUUUGGCGUAAAAGUAAAAAAAAAAACCAGUAUUGUAUGCGAAUGAAAACGCGCAUACUUUGUAGUAUUCGGAGAUGUAGAGAGGCACGUUCAUUAGCUAUUCUUACAUACAUUUUAUAAUCACGCUAGUAGUACACAAUUUUCUCAUAAGACUUCCUUCGUUGCAAAAUAGAAUCACGAGCAGGAAGUUGAAGGCACACCGCAAUGUUUUAACGAUCCUUUCGAAAGCCACAUAUGUUAGAAAAUAGUUACGGAGACAAAGGGGAGCGGAUCCAUAAAACAAUCUUGCGAGCCUCGCGAACUAGUCUUCGUACUCGGCAAACUAUAGUUAUAAAUAACUAUGGUAUAGUCAUAACCAUAGUUAUUUAUAAAUAACUAUAUUUUAUAUUUUUCGAAAAAAAAUUUGUCUCAGAAAAAAAUUUUUAUAUUUCUUUUCUCUACCAAAUAUAAAAGUGGUUAUAUUUAUUAGAAAAAUCUCAACUGGCUAAUAAUUAGGCGCAUUAGUCAAUAUCAUCAACGUUUACUUUAACCGAAAAAAUAAAAAUAAAAUAAAAAUAAAUCGCCAAAUAAAGCGCGACUUCAUUCGUGCAUUGCAAGGUCGAAACGUCGCGAAGAGGAGUUUUGUAUCGAGCGGCGAGACUUUCGCUCUCUUAAUUCCGUAAAAUAUCAGCGAACGGCCGUAUUAAAUAAAACAUUGUCGGUAGGGAAUUUUUUCCUUUUCGGAGCGCCGCACGUUUCGAUUUCUAGACGGCGAGGUCACCGAUGUCAAUUCACGAGACGGUGUCGGAAUGCGACUGGUAAAUGAAUGCAACGGUACCUUAUUUGUAUCGUGCGAUCGGCAAAAUAUACAUUGUAUUUGCUGCUAAGGAGCACGACUGUAUUGUUAGACAGGCAUGCCUGUGGUUACACAAAUUGACCUCAUAUUUUAUCGCUCAUGUUUAAUAUGUCGCAAUAAACCUUUACAGUCGAGAAAAGAUUGCGUUAAAAUUAAUCACAUAAAGAAAACAAGUAAACGUAAAAAUAAAUCGGAAAACCAACGAAUUUUAACGUAUUUUAAAUUACGCGUACAGGAUAUAAUUCCAUUUUCUAUUGUGCCAAAAAGAGGAAAUUAAGGAAUAAGGAAUUAAUUAGAUUGUUUCGUACGUUUUAUUAUAUAUCGUGGUUAUGCAAACGUGGACAUGCGUGGGCUUGCUUUUAAUUUGUAAGGAUUAUAGCGUACAGAGUUGUUCGGCCUGCCUGAUAAGAAAUCUGCAUAGGGAAUAAUACUGUUGAGCGCCUUUCCUGACCGAGCACUUUCACCCGAUUUCGGAAUGUUUUUCGCCUGUGCAAGGCUCUCUUGUUUCGCAAGAGAUAUCUUAUUUAUAGUUGCCAGUAUAUACGGUGUCCUGGAUCAAGAGGAGAGCGGUCAGCGUGCGGCAAAACCGCCCAUACAUCUUGAAUGUGCCUCGACGUUACGUACGCGCGGCGCUAUGGGAUAUGUGACCUUAAUUAUGUGCUUAGGUGAAAAGCGAUUUAAUGCCCCGAUACGCAUAAAAACUCAAGAAUCCGAUAAUGGCCGUACUCGAGAGUGCUCUGUAACGCUCCGUUCUUAUCGAUGAUGACUUGCGAUAAGAUAGAACUCCGUGAUUUUGUUUGCCGUCAUCAACCAACACCCCCCCCCCCCGGUAUUCAUUAUACAUAAAAUAGACGUAAUUACAUAAACAAUUUAUUCCUAAUAGGCAUCUGUUCUAAUAUUUUGUUAUUAAAUACCGUGUUUGAGUAUUUAUAAUAAUUACUAAGCCACAGCGAAUCACGAGUUGCUGAAAAAGAAUUUGUUGUUGCUCGUUUAAGAGGAAGGUAUUAUAUCAACAACGCGGAAAUAUAUUUUCGUCGAAAAGCCGAGGAAGAAUGGCGCUUAAAUCGAUACUAUCGCCAAAAGUGAAAGUUCGGCUGCGUUGUGAAUUGUCGAGUAAGUGGCAAUCAGUGGAACAAUGACAACCGAUCUCGCGUGCCUUUCUAACGAGAUGGAUAUUGAACGUACGUUACAUGACAAGCGUGAUGCAAAUUACGCUUUGUUGAAUACUUACGUCGAUCGCGGUCACGGAAUUAAACCUAAUAAAAAAUAUUUUAAAUAUUCAAUCGGUAUGACGCCAGUAAAAAAAAAUCCAUUGUCAAGUAGAGGGUCCAUCUAAAUCAGUAUAGGUUUACAAAAAAAAAUAAUAAUAAAUUACUAUUUACAGAGGAAGUAAAAUGUAUAUUUUAUUAUUCAUUGUAUCUUGACAUUUAAUCUCUUCUUUAAAUAGUAAUUCGUUGGUUUUUUUUGUGUAAAAAGCUACUUAUUUAUAUCGCAUAGUUCCUAGUACGAAGCAUUUAUCAAGCAGGUUAUCAAAUUUUAAUAAAUGACCUCGUAGGUCUAUGUUUUAUCUAUAUGAUUGGAAUUCAUGUUGCCACGAAAUUAUCACACUAGCGGAACGAAGCCAUUGUGAAACUGUCCCGUGUUCUUCGCUUAUGCGAUCCCCUACAGAUUGUAUAUCGCGAUGAUAAAAUAUAGAUUAGAAUUGACUUAUAUCUGUGAAUGGACCGUAAAAUAUAAAAAAAAAAAAAAAAAAAAACUGUUAAACGUUAUAAUAGCUCCAUUUUUUCCGCAUUUUUAAAGAACCGCGUAUGCCACGCGUACCUCCUAUGUAAUCGCUAUGUUCGCGCCUUCGCAAUCGACGGUGGGAAACAACCGGAUGCCGCACCGCAUCGCUGGCAUAGCAGGAAUACUUAAUGAUUGAAAAGCAACGGGUCCAGAAAAGUGAGAAGUCGUUUAUUCGGAUCGCGGUCAAUUAAAUGCACGAAUCGCUCUAUGACUAAAUCGAAUAAACUCCCGAAACUUGCGCAACAAUGAUAAAUUUAUAAAUAGGAACGUCGCGAUGACAAUACUACCGUAUGACAAAAUAACACGUUAAUCCGACGAUUUCAUUCUCGCAUAUAGAAAAGAUGCGAAAAACCGUGACGAUUUCGACAUACGUCGCAUAUAAACACAUAACAUUUCGACUGCGUAAAAGACUACAUAAAUGUUUCAUCUUUGCGAUAUGGGCAUUUUGCAACGAAUUCUUCGAAUUGGUGAAUUUCUCGAUUAACAAAGAAGCAACAGGUUGAGAUUGACUCCCACCUGUUGUGACGCGCACGCGAAGCCCACGCAACGGGUAGCCUCGUAAUUCGUUGCAGUUCGCUGCAGGUCGAUCGCUGGACGCACACAUAUUCACAGUCGUAAACGAUAUUACCGUUCUCGUCGUGAAUAAAAAGUUAUCCCCGAAGCUUUAUUAAAAAUAAGUAAGAAAAUUAAUUUUGUUUUAUAAAAAUAAUAUUAAUAUACACAUAUCUUUUAAUAUGUAUAAUGCUGUACAGUACAUAUGUCAGUUAUAUAUUUAUUUUUCACCAUUAAAUUCUGUAGGGAAUAAUUAAUAUUUCUAAUUUCAGCUUUUAAAAAAUAUGAAUAUAACAAUACCGUACUAAGACAGUCUUGGUUUAGAAUAGUCAAAAUAAAUAUAUCGUAAUAAAUUAGAAUUUUUGCGUUCAAUUAUUUGUUGUUUUUUCUUUUAGGAAAAUGUAUUUUUUAAAAAAGUAAUAAUAAAAUAACUUUAAAGUAUUUGCAAAAUAUUCGCAGAAUUAUGGUCAAAAUAAUUAUUUAAAAGACAUAUCGUGAGGGGAGAUUGAGAAACAGCAAGUAGUUGCUCUUCACUAAUAGAACAUAAAUUAAUCACUGUUCCUCAUAACAUGGAUCGCGCGUGCCGUAGAGAACGCGAGUUGCGCAAACCCGGAGUGAAGGCGAGUAAAAAUUACAUAAUAAACAAUCAAUUUGAACAUCUUUAUAUUCUUAUAAUAAAUGCUUCCCAUUUGUGACACAAGUCGAUACAAGGACUUUUUUAAUUACAAGCAAAUAUUGCGAACAAAUAUCGCAGUAUUGCACAAAAUAUUGUAUUUAUCAAUAUUUUUUUUGAAAAGUCAGAAUGAUAAAUGAUGAUGACGAUGAUGAUGAGGAAUGAUCAAUAUCUAUCUAAAAAGCAGCGGGAUAUUAAAAUUAUGAAUUUCUCAUCUAAGAUUGAAAAGAUAAAGUUUGAUGGAUUAGAUUUUAUGUGACCAUUAGCACCAUUAGAAAGUAACAUAAAGAAAUAGAAGAAAUAAAUAAAAAGGCACUACUCGCGCGCGAGUUUUCACAAAAAGAAUUCCUCACUCGACACAAAAAGCCGAUUAGCUACGAACGUACCCCUUCUCAUUAAAUCCUUCCCCUUAAUUUUUCCUUAUACACUUUAAUCCGUCUUCGGUCUGCAUAAUGUUGUGCCUCGUCUCAAUUCCUCCUUGUACCGCGCCGCUCUUCUUUCCUUCUCUGUUUCUUCGAGGGAAUGCAGUUGCAACUUGCAAACCGCAAUAUCACAAGACAUCGUGAACACACGGUGGAAACAGGCGUGAACCCCGGCGUAAACAACGAUCUACACGUAUUAUAAAAGGGCAUCAACCGUGCCGUAAUUUACAAGUGUUCUAAGCGAGCAAGAAAGAUAUCUCUACUAAUUACCUUCGUAAUACACAUGCUACUUUAAGUAAUUCAUAAAAUAGUUUAGACGUAAACGCUAAGUGCAUUUAAUUGCUCUCGCAAAUUAAAAUCAAAGGAAAACAAAUGAAAAGUAAAAAAAAAACAUUCAAAAAAAGUAAUUUGUAAACGAUUGGAUCGAGAUAUGCGUUAGUAUCAGAAUAUUUUUUCGUUCUCUAUUUUUCUUAUCUUUGUAAGCCUUAUACCGCGACGAGAGAUUUUUUUUUUUUCAUUGUCUUUGCGGGAGAGACACCCAAAAAUGGAUGAAGCGUGUGACCAUGCAACGCGCGAGUGGAUUUAGAAAACCAACGUGGCGAUCAUGCGGCACGAUACACAUCCAAAUUUAGGAGCCUGACUUCCUCUACCUCCUCUCGAACGCCUGAAGCUUGUUUUCCGGCGAGGAAUGCCGCCCACGCGAUUAAGAAACUCCCCGUUAACUCGCCCGGCAAGUUUUAUUAACCCUCUAGUAUCGAGCUAUACAAAUGAAAUACCUUUCGCGCAUAUACCACGGUGUUUCCUGUGUUACUCGGCCAUUUAGAGAUUUCACUGAUAUUAAAAAAAAUAAGAUCUCGAAAUUUCGUGAAGUAAUAGGCAUGAAAAAAAGAAGACAUGUGCUGUCCUCAUAUAAUUUUUAGACUCUUCCAAAACGGAGCAAUAAAAAGUUAUAUUUCCUUCCGUAUUUUUUCAUGCCAUUAAAAGAAUACCAGAGAUCUCGAGUUACAAGAACACUGUGUAUACUUUUAUGUAUACUUUUACAUAACAAGUAUCUUAUUAAGUAGACAAAAUAAUCACACGGAAUAAAAUCCGAAAAUUUAUAAGUACAAUUACUCACUGAUUAAAUUCCUUUUAAGGGAAAUUUAAAUUGUAGUAGAAGCUCAUUAAAUAACGUAUUCGUAUAUUUGCAUCCGGACGCAUGAGAAUAGAUAAGAAAGCUAACGAAGUUUAUUACUAUUCAUACUUCUUCUUAGAGCAAGGCGUAAUUAUGUAAUACAUUCGUGAUAAAACAUUUGAUUUUAUGAGAAAUUCGCGGUAAACAAAUAUAUAAAUUUAUAUAAAAAUUAACGAUAAAAGCGACAGCGAACGGAUUAUCCUAAAUGAAGCUGUACUGACGUAAGAUUCCAAAGUUCGCGCACUUCGUUCUAAAGUUCAUUUCUAAUGCAAUGAGAUAAAACUUUGAGUACACAGCGUCGUCUGCACUUGAAGAAGGAAGAUUCGGCAUAAAACUGACUAAACAGACAAAUCUUUCUCCCUCCCCCCCUCUCUCUCUAUCUUCUUUUGCCGUUUCUCUUUCUGUAUGCAAAGAGACUGCGCUCAGUAUCGGUCAUUCAACGUAAGGAUAAACGAGACGAGAAAUAUCACAGCGAACUGAGGACGGCUCGGCGAGCGGAACUAAACGAGAACGACUCCUGGUCUUUCCGCGCGAAUAAAGUCGGAUAAAUUAGCACAGCAAAUGGAAGUAAAUAGGAGCUGCACGCCACGGUCUUUCGCGAUAAAAACACUCGACUCGCAAGGAUUCGCAUAGAGCUCGCACAAUUUUUGAGCGAAACGCUCAAGUCAUAAAUCCGGCACUUCAAGGCUUAUCCUCGAAAGCGGAAGUUGUUACGUAUGCGAUGAAGCAAGAGAGUAUUUGCCAUACAUUCCGCUUGAGCGGCGGCUAGAGCGAAAUAAAUUUCAACGCGAGAUAUAUUCAUUUAGAAUAUACAGUUCAAAAGAAUUCACAUAGAAACCAGCGAGGCUAAAACGGGAACGGACAUCAUCCUGCUGCCUAAAAAUUAGUCUUUUAGUCAACGUAUAUAUCUCGCUUGUUUAAGUAGAUACAUAAUGGAGUACCGUUACUGCGUAAUUAUACAUGGUUACGUAGAUAAUACACCAGUACAACAGUUUCAACCGAUAUUCACGUAAAACUGUCGUGCCGCACAUAA